rnacentral:rRNA from 1 species
CCUACGGGUGGCAGCAGUAGGGAAUCUUCCACAAUGGGCGAAAGCCUGAUGGAGCAACGCCGCGUGAUCGAAUGAAGGCAUUCGGGUUGUAAAGAUCUGUUGACAGGGACGAAUAAGCCAUGCGAAUAGUUUGGUGUAUGACGGUACCUGUUUAGAAAGAUCCGGCUAACUACGUGCCAGCAGCCGAGGUAAUACGUAGGGAGCAAGCGUUGUCCGGAAUUACUGGGCGUAAAGGGCGCGUAGGUGGGUGCUUAAGUCAGGUUUGAAAACUCUGGGCUCAACCUGGAGACUGCACUUGAAACUGGGUAUCUUGAGGGCAGGAGAGGAAAGUGGAAUUCCUAGUGUAGCGGUGAAAUGCGUAGAUAUUAGGAGGAACACCAGUGGCGAAGGCGACUUUCUGGACUGUACCUGACGCUGAGGCGCGAAAGCGUGGGUAGCGAACGGGAUUAGAUACCCUGGUAGUC